rnacentral:rRNA from 1 species
UGAUCAUGGCUCAGGAUGAACGCUAGCUACAGGCUUAACACAUGCAAGUCGAGGGGCAGCGGGAUUGAAGCUUGCUUCAAUUGCCGGCGACCGGCGCACGGGUGAGUAACGCGUAUCCAACCUUCCGCUUACUCGGGGAUAGCCUUUCGAAAGAAAGAUUAAUACCCGAUGGUAUCUUAAGCACGCAUGAGAUUAAGAUUAAAGAUUAUCGGUAAGCGAUGGGGAGUGCGUUCCAUUAGG